rnacentral:snRNA from 1 species
UGCUGUCUUAGGCAGCAAAUAUACUAAAAUUAGAACGAUACAGAGAUUAGCAUGGCCCCUACACAAGGAUGACAUGUGAAUUUGUGAAGUGUUCCAUAUUUUU